UCGCAUCACCUAAAAUAACUUUUUCAAACAAUUGAUCAUUUAUGUUUGUAUUCAUUUGGACGGUUACACCCAUCGGUGCCAAUUUAUACAUCAUAAAAAGAACAACAACACAUAAUUCAUGUGUCCUACGACAAAUAAAUGCAACACACAAUGAAAUUUGUACAUACCACAUAAAGCUUGGCCAACUUUAUCUUGUGCAAUUCUUGCUUUUUUUCUAAUCUUUCUUCCAACUUCUUAUCAUAUAGCACAUACAUAUCUUUCUUUUUCAAUUCCUACUCAUGUGUUAAUAUUUCUUCAAACUUCUUAUCAUAUUACAUAUCAAUCUCUUUCUUUUGGAUUCCCGAUUCAGUGUUAAUCUUUCUUCUAACUUUUUAUCAACAAACUCGUUCAUCUCUUUCUUGCGUAAAUUAUUAAUCUUUCUCGAUGUUCCAAAGUAUAAUCUCAGAGUAAUUCCUUGUCCAACACCACAAACACGUCCACCACGCUCAUUUGUUUCAAUUUAUUCUACUAAUAUAUCAUGUGGUACAUGUGGAACAGAGGAACCAAUGCCUUGUCCAACACCACAAACCAUCCACCACGCUCCUUUGUUUCAAUUUAUUCUACUAAUAUAUCAUGUGGUACAUGUGGAACAGGGGAACCUUGAAUGACCGUAUCAACCAACAAAUCCUACACACAAUAUGAAUAAGAUAUCAUUACCAAAUAAAUUUAAACUAGACACAA
rnacentral:lncRNA from 1 species